GGCGAACCGGGGGAACUGAAACAUCUAAGUACCCCGAGGAAAAGAAAUCAACCGAGAUUCCCCCAGUAGCGGCGAGCGAACGGGGAGGAGCCCAGAGCCUGAAUCAGUGUGUGUGUUAGUGGAAGCGUCUGGAAAGGCGCGCGAUACAGGGUGACAGCCCCGUACACAAAAAUGCACAUACUGUGAGCUCGAUGAGUAGGGCGGGACACGUGGUAUCCUGUCUGAAUAUGGGGGGACCAUCCUCCAAGGCUAAAUACUCCUGACUGACCGAUAGUGAACCAGUACCGUGAGGGAAAGGCGAAAAGAACCCCGGCGAGGGGAGUGAAAAAGAACCUGAAACCGUGUACGUACAAGCAGUGGGAGCCUCUUUUAUGGGGUGACUGCGUACCUUUUGUAUAAUGGGUCAGCGACUUAUAUUCUGUAGCAAGGUUAACCGAAUAGGGGAGCCGAAGGGAAACCGAGUCUUAACUGGGCGUUAAGUUGCAGGGUAUAGACCCGAAACCCGGUGAUCUAGCCAUGGGCAGGUUGAAGGUUGGGUAACACUAACUGGAGGACCGAACCGACUAAUGUUGAAAAAUUAGCGGAUGACUUGUGGCUGGGGGUGAAAGGCCAAUCAAACCGGGAGAUAGCUGGUUCUCCCCGAAAGCUAUUUAGGUAGCGCCUCGUGAAUUCAUCUCCGGGGGUAGAGCACUGUUUCGGCAAGGGGGUCAUCCCGACUUACCAACCCGAUGCAAACUGCGAAUACCGGAGAAUGUUAUCACGGGAGACACACGGCGGGUGCUAACGUCCGUCGUGAAGAGGGAAACAACCCAGACCGCCAGCUAAGGUCCCAAAGUCAUGGUUAAGUGGGAAACGAUGUGGGAAGGCCCAGACAGCCAGGAUGUUGGCUUAGAAGCAGCCAUCAUUUAAAGAAAGCGUAAUAGCUCACUGGUCGAGUCGGCCUGCGCGGAAGAUGUAACGGGGCUAAACCAUG
rnacentral:rRNA from 1 species